CUGGCGGCAUGCCUAACACAUGCAAGUCGAACGAGAUUUUCGGAUCUAGUGGCGCACGGGUGAGUAACGCGUGGGAACCUACCUUUCAGUAUGGGACAACGUUUGGAAACGAACGCUAAUACCGUAUACGCCCUCCGGGGGAAAGGUCAGCCGCUGAAAGAGGGGCCCGCGUCUGAUUAGCUUGUUGGUAAGGUAAUGGCUUACCAAGGCUACGAUCAGUAGCUGGUCUGAGAGGAUGAUCAGCCACACUGGGACUGAGACACGGCCCAGACUCCUACGGGAGGCAGCAGUGGGGAAUAUUGGACAAUGGAGGCAACUCUGAUCCAGCAAUGCCGCGUGUGUGAUGAAGGCCCUAGGGUUGUAAAGCACUUUCAACGGUGAAGAUGAUGACGGUAGCCGUAGAAGAAG
rnacentral:rRNA from 1 species